CAUGGCUCAGGAUGAACGCCGGCGGCGUGCUUAAUACAUGCAAGUCGAGCGAGAACCGGGGGCUUGCUCCCGGGGGCAGCGGCGAAUGGGUGCGUAACACGUAGGUGACCUGCCCUCAAGCGGGGGAUAACGGGCCGAAAGGACCGCUAAUACCGUAUGUGGUCAUCCGGUCGGACGGAUGACUAAACCCACGGGGCUUGAGGAGGGGCCUGCGGCCCAUCAGCUAGUUGGUAGGGUAACGGCCUACCAAGGCGACGACGGGUAGGGGGCCUGAGAGGGUGGUCCCCCACACUGGCACUGACACACGGGCCAGACUCCUACGGGAGGCAGCAGUAAGGAAUAUUGGGCAAUGGGCGAAAGCCUGACCCAGCAACGCCGCGUGAGCGAUGAAGGCCUUCGGGUCGUAAAGCUCUUUUCCCAGGGACGAGGAAGGACGGUACCUGGGGAAUAAGUCACGGCUAACUACGUGCCAGCAGCCGCGGUAAAACGUAGGUGGCGAGCGUUAUCCGGAUUCACUGGGCGUAAAGCGCACGCAGGCGGCUCGGUAGGUAGGGCAUGAAAUCUCCUGGCUUAACCGGGAGGGGUUGUCCUAAACCGCCGGGCUUGAGGAUGGGAGAGGGAAGUGGAACUGCCGGUGUAGUGGUGAAAUGCGUAGAGAUCGGCAAGAACACCAGUGGCGAAGGCGGCUUCCUGGCCCAUUCCUGACGCUCAGGUGCGAAAGCUAGGGGAGUGAACGGGAUUAGAAACCCCGGUAAUCCUAGCCGUAAACGAUGUGCACUAGGUGUCGGGGGUAUUGACCCCCUCGGUGCCGAAGCUAACGCGUUAAGUGCACCGCCUGGGGACUACGGCCGCAAGGUUAAAACUCAAAG
rnacentral:rRNA from 1 species